rnacentral:rRNA from 1 species
AUUUGACGUUAGCGACAGAAGAAGCACCGGCUAACUCCGUGCCAGCAGCCGCGGUAAUACGGAGGGUGCGAGCGUUAAUCGGAAUUACUGGGCGUAAAGCGCAUGCAGGCGGCCUGUUAAGUCAGAUGUGAAAGCCCGGGGCUUAACCUCGGAAUUGCAUUUGAAACUGGCAGGCUAGAGUCUUGUAGAGGGGGGUAGGAAUUUCAGGUGUAGCGGUGAAAUGCGUAGAGAUCUGAAGGAAUACCAGUGGCGAAGGCGGCCCCCUGGACAAAGACUGACGCUCAGAUGCGAAAGCGUGGGGAGCAAACAGGAUUAGAUACCCUGGUAG